rnacentral:rRNA from 1 species
AACGAACGCUGGCGGCAUGCCUAACACAUGCAAGUCGAACGAAGCCUUCGGGCUUAGUGGCGCACGGGUGCGUAACGCGUGGGAAUCUGCCCUUGGGUUCGGAAUAACAGUUAGAAAUGACUGCUAAUACCGGAUGAUGUCUUCGGACCAAAGAUUUAUCGCCCAAGGAUGAGCCCGCGUAGGAUUAGGUAGUUGGUGGGGUAAUGGCCCACCAAGCCGACGAUCCUUAGCUGGUCUGAGAGGAUGAUCAGCCACACUGGGACUGAGACACGGCCCAGACUCCUACGGGAGGCAGCAGUGGGGAAUAUUGGACAAUGGGCGAAAGCCUGAUCCAGCAAUGCCGCGUGAGUGAUGAAGGCCUUCGGGUUGUAAAGCUCUUUUACCAGGGAUGAUAAUGACAGUACCUGGAGAAUAAGCUCCGGCUAACUCCGUGCCAGCCGCCGCCGUAACAC